GAUGAAGAACGCAGCGAAAUGCGAUAAGUAAUGUGAAUUGCAGAAUUCAGUGAAUCAUCGAAUCUUUGAACGCACAUUGCGCCCCUUGGUAUUCCAUGGGGCAUGCCUGUUCGAGCGUCAUCUACACCCUCAAGCACUGCUUGGUGUUGGGCGUCUGUCCCGCCUUCGCGCGUGGACUCGCCCCAAAGUCAUUGGCAGCGGUCUCAGCACCUCAACGCGCAGUACAAUGCGUUCAUUGGAGUGCUUUGGACGCGACCAUAAAGCUAUUUACCGUCUUUGACCUCGGAUCAGGUAGGGAUACCCGCUGAACUUAAGCAUAUCAAUAAGCGGAGGA
rnacentral:misc_RNA from 1 species